CUCAAGAGUGCGGCGUACACUCUCCCCGACGGCACCAUCAUCAUCGACCCGCGGAAACCCCUCUCCCCCAACCUGUCCGGGGCGCUGCAGAACUCGGCCCUGAAGAGCGCCUCCUAUAAACUCCCGGACGGGACGGUGAUCACCGACCCCAACGCUCCCAAUCUCACCCAACCUGGCGAGGGCCCUCAACAACCCGGCCUUGAGAGGUGCAACAUUGACCCUCCCAGACGGGACCCUUCUAGUGGAUCCCAGGAAACCAAAGUCUCCCGUCCUGUCCGCUGCCCUCAAGAACCCCUACAUCAUGGGGGCCUCCUACACCCUCCCAGACGGCUCCAUCAUCAUCGACCCGAGGAAACCAGUCGCACCUAACCUUUCUAAAGCUCUUACGCUGAACACAAACAUGCGUAGCGCUUCGUACAAGCUUCCCGACGGCGCCCUGCUCAUCCCCGGUCAGAAGCCCAACCUCUCCUCCGCCCUGUACAGGAACCACGGCCUGCGCUCCAAAGAGCUCUUCCACCUGUCGGACGGUUCUGCCUUCACAGGCAAGCCCAAGCCCAGCACCCCCAACCUCUCGUCCG
ensembl:lncRNA